GCCGGGCGCGGCAGCUCAUGCCUGUAAUCCCAGCUACUCAGGAGGCUGAGGCAGGAGAAUCGCUUGAACCCAGGAGGCAGAGGUUGCAGUGAGCUGAGAUUGUGCCACUGCACUCCAGCCUGGGCUACAGAGCGAGACUCUGUCUCAA
ensembl:misc_RNA Metazoa_SRP Metazoan signal recognition particle RNA